GAUGAACGCUGGCGGUGUGCCUAAUACAUGCAAGUCGAGCGAACGGACGAGAAGCUUGCUUCUCUGAUGUUAGCGGCGGACGGGUGAGUAACACGUGGAUAACCUACCUAUAAGACUGGGAUAACUUCGGGAAACCGGAGCUAAUACCGGAUAAUAUUUUGAACCGCAUGGUUCAAAAGUGAAAGACGGUCUUGCUGUCACUUAUAGAUGGAUCCGCGCUGCAUUAGCUAGUUGGUAAGGUAACGGCUUACCAAGGCAACGAUGCAUAGCCGACCUGAGAGGGUGAUCGGCCACACUGGAACUGAGACACGGUCCAGACUCCUACGGGAGGCAGCAGUAGGGAAUCUUCCGCAAUGGGCGAAAGCCUGACGGAGCAACGCCGCGUGAGUGAUGAAGGUCUUCGGAUCGUAAAACUCUGUUAUUAGGGAAGAACAUAUGUGUAAGUAACUGUGCACAUCUUGACGGUACCUAAUCAGAAAGCCACGGCUAACUACGUGCCAGCAGCCGCGGUAAUACGUAGGUGGCAAGCGUUAUCCGGAAUUAUUGGGCGUAAAGCGCGCGUAGGCGGUUUUUUAAGUCUGAUGUGAAAGCCCACGGCUCAACCGUGGAGGGUCAUUGGAAACUGGAAAACUUGAGUGCAGAAGAGGAAAGUGGAAUUCCAUGUGUAGCGGUGAAAUGCGCAGAGAUAUGGAGGAACACCAGUGGCGAAGGCGACUUUCUGGUCUGUAACUGACGCUGAUGUGCGAAAGCGUGGGGAUCAAACAGGAUUAGAUACCCUGGUAGUCCACGCCGUAAACGAUGAGUGCUAAGUGUUAGGGGGUUUCCGCCCCUUAGUGCUGCAGCUAACGCAUUAAGCACUCCGCCUGGGGAGUACGACCGCAAGGUUGAAACUCAAAGGAAUUGACGGGGACCCGCACAAGCGGUGGAGCAUGUGGUUUAAUUCGAAGCAACGCGAAGAACCUUACCAAAUCUUGACAUCCUUUGACAACUCUAGAGAUAGAGCCUUCUCCUUCGGGGGACAAAGUGACAGGUGGUGCAUGGUUGUCGUCAGCUCGUGUCGUGAGAUGUUGGGUUAAGUCCCGCAACGAGCGCAACCCUUAAGCUUAGUUGCCAUCAUUAAGUUGGGCACUCUAAGUUGACUGCCGGUGACAAACCGGAGGAAGGUGGGGAUGCCGUCAAAUCAUCAUGCCCCUUAUGAUUUGGGCUACACACGUGCUACAAUGGACAAUACAAAGGGCAGCGAAACCGCGAGGUCAAGCAAAUCCCAUAAAGUUGUUCUCAGUUCGGAUUGUAGUCUGCAACUCGACUACAUGAAGCUGGAAUCGCUAGUAAUCGUAGAUCAGCAUGCUACGGUGAAUACGUUCCCGGGUCU
rnacentral:rRNA from 1 species